rnacentral:rRNA from 1 species
UACGUAGGGGGCAAGCGUUGUCCGGAUUUAUUGGGCGUAAAGAGCUCGUAGGCGGUUUGGUAAGUCAGGUGUGAAAUCUCCACGCUCAACGUGGAGGGGCCACCUGAUACUGCCAUGACUGGAGUCCGGUAGAGGAGUGUGGAAUUCCCGGUGUAGCGGUGAAAUGCGCAGAUAUCGGGAGGAACACCUGUGGCGAAGGCGGCCCCCUGGGCCGGCCCCUGACACUGAGACGCGAAGGCGUGGGGAGCGAACGGG